UACUAGGAGCCAAGCGUUGUUCGGAUUUACUGGGCGUAAAGGGCGCGUAGGCGGCUUAACAAGUCACUUGUGAAAUCUCCGGGCUUAACCCGGAAACUGCCAUUGAUACUAUCUGUCUUGAAUACCGUGGAGGUGAGCGGAAUAUGUCAUGUAGCGGUGAAAUGCUUAGAUAUGACAUAGAACACCAAUUGCGAAGGCAGCUCACUACGCGAAUAUUGACACUGAGGCACGAAAGCGUGGGGAUCAAACAGG
rnacentral:rRNA from 1 species